rnacentral:rRNA from 1 species
AUGGCGGCCGGCGGGUUGGGGCGGCCGGGGAGGCCGGCGCGCGGAGGGAACAAGCAGAUGCAGAAGACCAUCAACAACGUCAAGAUGACGCUCAUAUGCGGCUUCAUCACCAUCCUCGUGCUCCGCGGCACCGUCGGCAUCAACCUCAUGGCCUUCUCCGGCGAGGGCGGUGGCGACGCGGCAGCUGACGCCAAGGUCGCCGAGGACAUCGAGCGCAUUCUCCGCGAGAUACGCACCGACUCCGACCCCGACGACGAGGACCAGCCCGUCGUCGAUGCGUCCUUGUCAGGCAACUCGACGGCCAUGCCCGUCGUCGAGGAGAAGAACUACACCCUCGGCCCCAGCAUCACGCGGUGGAACGCCAAGCGCCGCCAGUGGCUGUCCCAGAAUCCGGGGUUCCCUUCCCGCGACGCGCGGGGCAACCCGAGGAUCCUGCUGGUGACCGGGUCGUCGCCGGGGCCAUGCGACAACCCGGCCGGCGACCACUACCUGCUCAAGUCGACCAAGAACAAGAUCGACUACUGCCGCCUCCACGGCAUCGAGAUCGUGCACAACAUGGUGCACCUCGACCGCGAGCUCUCCGGGUACUGGUCCAAGCUGCCUCUGCUGCGCCGCCUGAUGCUGUCGCACCCGGAGGUGGAGUGGGUGUGGUGGAUGGACAGCGACGCGCUCUUCACCGACAUGGGCUUCGAGAUCCCGCUCUCCCGCUACGAGGGGAGCAACCUCGUCAUCCACGGCUACCCUGAGCUCCUCAACAAGCAGCGCUCCUGGGUGGCCCUCAACACCGGCAGCUUCCUGCUCCGGAACUGCCAGUGGUCCAUGGAGCUGCUGGACGCGUGGGCGCCCAUGGGGCCCAAGGGCCGCGUCCGCGAGGCGGCCGGGAAGGUGCUGACGGCGAGCCUGACGGGCCGGCCGGCGUUCGAGGCGGACGACCAGUCGGCGCUCAUCCACCUGCUGCUCACGGAGAAGGAGCGGUGGAUGGAGAAGGUGUACGUGGAGAACCAAUACUACCUCCACGGCUUCUGGGCGGGGCUGGUGGACAAGUACGAGGAGAUGAUGGAGAAGCACCACCCGGGGCUCGGCGACGAGCGGUGGCCCUUCAUCACGCACUUCGUCGGAUGCAAGCCCUGCGGCAGCUACGGCGACUACCCGGUGGAGCAGUGCCUCACCGGCAUGGAGCGCGCCUUCAACUUCGCCGACAACCAGGUGCUCAGGCUCUACGGCUUCCGGCACCGCUCGCUGACCAACCCCAAGGUGAAGCCGGUGGCGAACCGGACGGCGAGCCCGCUCCUGAACAAGGAGGCGUCUCUCAAGAUGGACGCCAAGAUCGAAACUUAA